rnacentral:rRNA from 1 species
UAGUGUGUGCUAGCGAUUGGAAAUGCUAGUCUAAGCGUUUAGGGAGUUACGGUAGGCAAAUCCGCUGUAACAAUUCUGAGGCGUGAUGGGGAAGGCCAUAUAGGCCGAAGUACAUGAUUCCAUGCUUCCAAGAAAAGCAUCUAGAGAGAGAAGUAGUGCCCGUACCGCAAACCGACACAGGUAGAUGAGGAGAGAAUCCUAAGGCCGGCGGAAGAAUUGCAGUUAAGGAACUAGGCAAAUUGACCCCGUAAGUUCGCGAGAAGGGGUGCCUGCGAGAGCAGGCCGCAGAGAAUAGGCCCAAGCAACUGUUUAGCAAAAACACAGGUCUCUGCUAAAGCGUAAGCUGAUGUAUAGGGGCUGACGCCUGCCCGGUGCUGGAAGGUUAAGGGGAACACUUAGCGCAAGCGAAGGUGUGAACUUAAGCCCCAGUAAACGGCGGCCGUAACGAUAACGGUCCUAAGGUAGCGAAAUUCCUUGUCAGGUAAGUUCUGACCCGCACGAAUGGCGUAAUGACUUGGGCACUGUCUCAACUGCAAAUCCGGCGAAGUUGUAGUGCGAGUGAAGAUGCUCGCUACCCGCGAUUGGACGGAAAGACCCCGUAGAGCUUUACUGUAGCUUAGCAUUGAAUUCCGGUAUUGUCUGUACAGGAUAGGUGGGAGACUGGGAAACUAGGGCGUCAGCCUUAGUGGAGUCAACCUUGGGAUACCACCCUGACAGUACUGGGGUUCUAACAGGACGCCAUGAAUCUGGUGACUGGACAUUGUUAGGUGGGCAGCUUGACUGGGGCGGUCGCCUCCUAAAAAGUAACGGAGGCGCCCAAAGGUUCCCUCAGAACGGUCGGAAAUCGUUCGUAGAGUGCAAAGGCAGAAGGGAGCCUGACUGCGAGACAUACAAGUCGAGCAGGGACGAAAGUCGGGCUUAGUGAUCCGGUGGUACCUCGUGGGAGGGCCAUCGCUCAACGGAUAAAAGCUACCUCGGGGAUAACAGGCUGAUCUCCCCCAAGAGUCCACAUCGACGGGGAGGUUUGGCACCUCGAUGUCGGCUCGUCGCAUCCUGGGGCUGUAGUAGGUCCCAAGGGUUGGGCUGUUCGCCCAUUAAAGCGGCACGCGAGCUGGGUUCAGAACGUCGUGAGACAGUUCGGUCCCUAUCCGUCGCGGGCGUAGGAAAUUUGAGAGGAGCUGUCCUUAGUACGAGAGGACCGGGAUGGACUGACCUCUGGUGUACCAGUUGUUCCGCCAGGAGCAUGGCUGGGUAGCUAAGUCGGGAAGGGAUAAACGCUGAAAGCAUCUAAGCGUGAAGCCUCCCUC